UCUCGUUUUCGAAUUCAUACUGGUGCGGACUCGGAGCAGAUGAACUGAUGAAGUACCGGGUUGGACGAAAGCCCUUCAUAUUUUUAGUGUAAAAAGGUAUAUAAUAUAUAUAACUAUAUAACAGAAUUACUUCUUAUUUGAACCACGGUGCACAGGUGGUGAUUGGUGUUCUCCUGAUUAUUAGCUGGUGCGCCAGGAUUUUAAACAGCAGCUAGUUUUCUCAAAGAUCCUUCUCUUUGAAGUUUUUGUUGUUUGUGCUACUAGUCUCCUAAGAAUGGCUAAGAUGACAGGUUAUGCGGUUUGCAUACAGUAUUAUUCUUUCUUUUGCUCAUAUUUACUUAAAUGCAGGCCAACUAUGUUGUGGGAUUCAUUUCCUAAGGAAUUGCAGAUUACUAUCAUGGUAGAAGUAGCCGCACGCACCAUCUUUGAGUUAUUGGUUUUGCAUUUAGCUAGUGAUAUUAAAUUCAUGAUAGGUGCCACCUACAUUCCAAGAAGAAAACAAUGACUAGUAGCCUCUCCAUGUAUUUCAUUUUCUUUUUAGAGUUAUAUUGGUCCCUGAGACCCGUGUGUAACGUGUUCUAGAUUUGUUUCGCGCGCUGCUUGCAUUACUUCAUUACUGACUCUUGGUAUUGUAAUCUCCAACACACUAAACACCAUGCUUUUUGUGCUCUUUAGAGCAUCUCCAACGUGUCCUAUAAAAAUGCUCUAUAAUAGCUCUAUAAUUUUAAAUGGGUAUAUUUUAUAAGAUUUAGGGCACCAAUAAAAUAUUCUGCUCCAACAGUAAAGCCCAAAUCUAGAUUAUAUGGCAGCCCACUAUGGUGUAGUAUAUUUGAGGCACUUGAGUGGGUGUUCUAUAAUUUUUUGACCAAAUUUUAUAAAAUGAGGCACUGUUAAAGUAGCUUUUCCCUAUAUUUCAAUUCGAUGCACCAAUUUGAGGCAUUGUUGGAGAUGCUCUUAUAAAACUGAAAUCACACUUCACAAAAAAUGGGCAUAUUCUGCAGAAAGCUCAGCUAGCCUAGUAAAAAUCAGAUAAACAAGUCAUUCACUAACAGAGGAUCCCAAAAUUUCCUUGUGUGUGUUUAUGCGUGAAGAUGCACGGCAGACCUAGAGGCUGCAAUUCCUGCCUGCGGGCAAGAUUCAUGAGCAGCCAUGAUGAACUGUGGUGAAGCAAAUAAGGCACCUUCAGGCUAAAGUUUCUCUUGGCAUGUCAUGGUGGUGGCGAAGGCUGAAGGGCCAACCUCUACAGCCACACGUUCCCAGUCUUUUUUAGCAGGCCCAAAGUAGCUGAGCAUCAUAUGAGAGAUGAGAUGGGAUGCAUGCCCCCAGAAAACAAGAAUUGGACCCUACCCUUUCCUGGAUUCCAUUCCAAUGCCCAGAUGGAUGGAAGGGCAAGGGAAGAGGGAACAUCCGGAAAAGGAGGAAGCCAAUUUGCGGGUAGACAUACUCUAUGCCAAUUUGCCACGAACUUUGUCAAAAAGAACCCCCCCCCCCCCCUCCCUCCCUUCUUUGUUGCUUGAGUAGGGGUAAUCCCAAUGCCUCUUACUAGCUUAACUAGUGGGGACAGCUGGUAUUAAUCAUUACAUCACGCCUCCUCCCUGAUGAUGAUCCUUGCCUUUUGCAUUCAGGCUUUUUUCUAAUGUUUCACAGCAUGCAAGCAUCAUGCUGCCUAGGGCAGAGAAACAUGCAUGUUGGGAAAAACUAGAAGGAAAUUGUGCGACUCUGAGCUGUUGUAACCAACUAGUGAAGUGACUAAUAACUACACCAAAGUCCAGAAUAUGUUUUGUGUGGUCAGUUAUAGCUCCAGAAUCAUUGUUUUUCUUCUUUUUAUCCAUGCAUAAAAAGUUGUUGUUGGUGUGUGUGGGUGGGGUAGCAAAUUCCCCCGACAAGAGAAAAAUUUGCUAUUUUAGCCCUUCUAACGUGGGCUCUCUGCUAUUAUGUGACCCUCUGUCUAUGACUUGUGGGACCAUUUGUGUCUAUGAUUUGUGGGUUUAGUGGUAAAAUAGAGAAAUUCACAACUGAGAGUGAUAAAAUAGCAAAUUCCCCACAAGCAAGACCUAUACCCUGCAUAUCAUGUGAUACUGUACUAUUUGGCCAAAAAAAAAAACCAACCAUACUUCUCUAUUUUCGCAGCUGUACCUGAACGUGCCAGUGUUUAAGCCUGCUGGCAUGAACUUCGAAGGAUAUAGCAAUCUUCAAUUUGAUGGAUUACAUUGGCAAAAAAAAAAAUUCAAGCUCUGCUUUCCUGCAUAGUCACAUGCAAACCAGGAGGUAUCAUGCGUCUGGUCUGGUCAUGGGCUCAUGAAACUGAAGGUGCGCAGGGGGUGCAUGGAAACUGCCACUUGAAGUCUGGUUGCAGAAUUGGGCAGUGUGGAAGCAUGACUGCAUAUAUGAGUAUGAUGACUGCUAAUUGGGUUGUUACUCAGGAUGGCAGGAUUCCAGGUUCAGUGAUUCGUGUCUGGUCGUCUUGCAUGUUUCAUCUCCCUUCUUUUUCCCUCCCUGCUCUUGUUUUUGACUAGUCUCCGUCGGCAAUGCGUCAGAUCCAGUUCAAAUCAGGUCACUGGUCACCCUAGAGUUAGACCUCUAAAAG
rnacentral:lncRNA from 1 species